rnacentral:rRNA from 1 species
AUUGAACGCUGGCGGCAGGCCUAACACAUGCAAGUCGAGCGGAGGGGCGGCCGCGUGAGUAAUGCCUAUGAAUCUGACUGGUACUGUGGGAUAACGUCCGGAAACGGGCGCUACUACCGCAUACUAUCACAUGAGGCUAGGUCGGAUUAGAUAGUGGGUGGGGUAAGGGCCGACCAAGGCGACGAUCCGUAACUGUUCUGAGAGGAUGAUCAGUCACACUGGAACUGAGACACGGUCCAGACUCCUACGGGAGGCAGCAGUGGGGAAUAUUGGACAAUGGGAGCAAGCCUGAUGCAGCCAUGCCGCGUGUGUGAAGAAGGUCUUCGGAUUGUAAAGCACUUUAAGUUGGGAGGCGUUACCAACAGAAGAAGCACCGGCUAACUCCGUGCCAGCAGCCGCGGUAAUUC